GGAUGUAAAAGUCGUAACAAGGUUUCCGUAGGUGAACCUGCGGAAGGAUCAUUAAUGAGUUGUCAUGGGGUUCGAUGCUGGCAGCCAAUUUUUGGAUGCAUGUGCUUGCCCUAACAAUCAUCUUCCAAACACCUGUGCACAUUUUUGAGGGAGUCUUGAGUUGGUUGCCGCUCUUGGGUGAUUUUCUCACAUUCCCUUAAAUCAUUAUACGCUAUUAACAAUGUUGAACGUGCUCUGUGCCGCAAGGCUAUUAAUAUAAUACAACUUUUAACAACGGAUCUCUUGGCUCUC
rnacentral:misc_RNA from 1 species